rnacentral:rRNA from 1 species
ANUAGAAUGAACGGUUAAAUGAGGACCUCACUGUCUCUUACAUUUGACCAAUAAACCUGAUCUUUCAGUCCAAAAGCUGAAAUAAACUCAUAAGACGAGAAGACCCUGUGGAGCUUUUUAAACCAAGCCCAUAAAACUUAAUGUAAGCCUUGGUUUUUAGUUGGGGCGACUUUGGAGUACAAAAAACCCUCCAACCACGGAACUAACCCUCUAGAUAUACACAUCAAAAGCAUACCCCCUAGACCCAGUAGCUUAAUAAACUACCUGAUCUACGAACCAAGUUACCCCAGGGAUAACAGCGCCAUCCUCUUCUAGAGUUCCUAUCGACAAGAGGGUUUACGACCUCGAUGUUGGAUCAGGACACCCCUAUAGUGCAGCCGCUAUAAAAG